UGUUGAGGAGAAGGUCUGAGCAGCAGAGAAGCUUCUUAGUUUUCAUUCUGCUGCAGUGGAACAACUUUGUUGAUCUUCUGUCUGACUUGAACACCUGGAAACAUGUUACUUUACCUCUUUCUGCUUUUCUCUCACUACAUAGCCAUGGGCUCCAUGAACACCAUCAAACAGGAACAGAGGGAACUAGUGGUUUCAGAGGGAAGAAGCACCAGUUUGAACUGUGAAUAUACUGGUUCUAUCUACAGUAUCCAGUGGUACCGACAGUACCAGAGAUCCAGACCAGAGUUCCUGCUCUACAUCGUUGAGGGAGGAACGAUUCAUCCAACUCGCUCUGAUUUCUCAGCUCAGAUCGACAAAACUCUGAAACGAGUAAAUCUGCUGAUCUCCUCUGCUGCAGUGACAGAUUCUGCUGUGUACUACUGUGCUCUGGAGCCCACAGUGACAGGAAACACCAGAACUCUGUACAAGAACCUGCAAUACUCCACAACAUCCACUAGAGGGCCUCAAAAAUCCAGUUGUAGCAACAUGAGGUGGAGCUGUAGAAACCAAACCUUAAUAUACUUCAUGACAAAGCACCACCUUCACUUGGUGUCUGUACAACAGUUCAAAGUGGGAGAACCCAUUAGAACCUAUAGGAUGAUGGGAGUUAGGACAUCCUCUGGUCUCAACUAG